UCGGGAAUUUUGGGCAAUGGGCGAAAGCCUGACCCAGCAACGCCGCGUGAAGGAUGAAGUAUUUCGGUAUGUAAACUUCGAAAGAAUAGGAAGAAUAAAUGACGGUACUAUUAUAAGGUCCGGCUAACUACGUGCCAGCAGCCGCGGUAAUACGUAGGGACCAAGCGUUGUUCGGAUUUACUGGGCGUAAAGGGCGCGUAGGCGGCAAUUCAAGUCAUCUGUGAAAUCUCCGGGCUUAACUCGGAACGGUCAGAUGAUACUGCUUUGCUAGAGUGCAGAAGGGGCAAUCGGAAUUCUUGGUGUAGCGGUGAAAUGCGUAGAUAUCAAGAGGAACACCUGAGGCGAAGGCGGGUUGCUGGGCUGAUACUGACGCUGAAGCGCGAAAGCUAGGGUAGCAAACGGGAUUAGAUACCCCGGUAGUCCCUGAGCGGGCUGGCAAGGCGCAU
rnacentral:rRNA from 1 species